rnacentral:rRNA from 1 species
CCCUUAGAUGUCCGGGGCCGCACGCGCGCUACACUGAUGCAUUCAACGAGUUUCUUCCUGGUCCGAGAGGAAUGGGUAACCUUUUGAAAGUGCAUCGUGAUAGGGAUAGACUAUUGCAAUUAUUGGUCUUCAACGAGGAAUUCCUAGUAGACGUAGUUCAUCAGACUGCAUCGAUUACGUCCCUGCCCUUUGUACACACCGCCCGUCGCUCCUACCGAUUGAAUGCUCAGGUGAGCCAUUCGGACCUUCAUCAUGCCGGUUUCCGGUUUUGAUGAGGGAAAGUCUUGCGAACCUUAUCAUUUAGAGGAAGGAGAAGUCGUAACA